rnacentral:rRNA from 1 species
UUAAGAUACUAAGAGCAUACGGUGGAUGCCUUGGCGAUAUCUGCCGACGAAGGACGUGACAAGCUGCGAAAAGCUGCGGAGAGAUGCAAAUAAUCGGCGACCCGCAGACAUCCGAAUGGAGAAAUCCGGCUGUGAUGAUGCACAGCCAUCCAUGCCCAAGAGCAUGAGAAGGGAACCGGGCGAACUGAAACAUCUAAGUAACCCGAGGAAAAGAAAUCAAACGAGAUACCCCAAGUAGCGGCGAGCGAACAGGGAAGAAGCCCAAACCGGUGAAGGAAACUUUACCGGGGUUGAGGACCAUCAGACCCGCGAAGAACUUUAGCCGAAACUGUUGGGAAACAGUGCCAAAGACAGUGAAAGCCUGGUAGGCGAAAAAGAGAAACGCGGAGAUGGCACCGGAGUACCGCGGGACACGAGAAAUCCCGUGGGAAGCAGGGGGGACCACCCUCCAAGGCAAAACACAGAUAUCGACCGAUAGCGCAUAGUACCAUGAGGGAAAGGUGAAAAGCACCCCGGGAGGGGAAUGAAAGAGAACCUGAAACCGUAUGUUUACAAGCAGUCGGAGACCGCUUAAUAAUAAGGUCGACGGCGUGCCUAUUGAAGAAUGAACCGGCGAGUUACGAAGCCUGGCAAGGUUAAGCAGGAAAUGCGGAGCCGAAGCGAAAGCGAGUCUUAAGAGGGCGCAAGUCAGGAAGCGUAGACCCGAAACCACAGUGAUCUACCCAUGUCCAGGUUGAAACACAGGUAAAAAUGUGUGGAGGACCGAACCUAUAUCCGUUGAAAAGGGUUAGGAUGAGGUGUGGGUAGGGGUGAAAUUCCAAUCGAACGUGGAGAUAGCUGGUUCUCCCCGAAAUAGCUUUAGGGCUAGCCUCAGGGAAAAGAUUGCAGGCGGUAGAGCACUGAUCAGGAGAGGGACCUACCCGGUUACCAAACCCAGUCAAACUCCGAAUGGCUGCAAUCAUACCUGGGAGUCAGACUGCGACUAAUAAGGGCCGCAGUCAAAAGGGAAACAGCCCAGACCAUCAGCUAAGGUCCCCAAUGCCGUGCUAAGUGGCGAAGGAUGUGGCAUUUCAUAAACAACCAGGAUGUUGGCUCAGAAGCAGCCACCAUUUAAAGAGUGCGUAAUAGCUCACUGGUCGAGAGACGCUGCGCCGAAAAUGUCCGGGGCUCAAGCACGGAACCGAAGCUAUGGCAUGAUAGCAAUAUCAUGGGUAGGGGAGCGUUCUUAUAAGGAAGAAGCAUGACCGGAAGGACAUGUGGACGAAUAAGAAGUGAGAAUGCCGGUAUGAGUAUCGAAAAGAAAGGUGAGAAUCCUUUCCACCGAAAGCCCGAGGGUUCCUGAGCAACGAUCGUCGACUCAGGGUAAGUCGGGACCUAAGCCGAGGCGAGAAGCGUAGGCGAUGGACAACAGGUUGAAAUUCCUGUACCGGAUCAAGUCGAUCGAGCGAAGGAGCGACGCAGGAGGGCACAUGAUCGCGCGGCUGGAAGAGCGCGUCCAAGUGCGUAUGUUGCAGCAGAGGAAAACCCCUGCAGCUAAAAGCAGAGACAUGAUGGGGAGUUAAAGGAAACUUUGACGAACUCAUGGAUCCCACACUGCCAAGAAAAACUUCUAGCGAGACAAGAUCCGCCCGUACCGUAAACCGACACAGGUAGGCGGGGAGAGAAUCCUAAGGUGCGCGGGAAAACCCUCGUUAAGGAACUCGGCAAAUUGCAUCCGUAACCUAGGGAGAAGGAUGGCCCCCGGUCAGUGAAGAGCAGAAACGCUCAGAGCUAAAAGGGGCGGCAGAAAAGAGGCCCAAGCAACUGUUUACCAAAAACACAGGUGCCUGCGAAAGCGAAAGCUGAAGUAUAGGUGCUGACGCCUGCCCGGUGCCGGAAGGUUAAGGAGAGAAGUUAGCGAAAGCGAAGCAUCGAACUGAAGCCCCGGUGAACGGCGGCCGUAACUAUAACGGUCCUAAGGUAGCGAAAUUCCUUGUCGGGUAAGUUCCGACCCGCAUGAAAGGCGUAAUGAUUUGGGCACUGUCUCAACGAGGGGCCCGGUGAAAUUGAAAUACCUGUGAAGAUGCAGGUUACCCGCGACUGGACAGAAAGACCCCAUGGAGCUUCACUGCAGCUUGAGAUUGAAUCCCGGUGACAGAUGCACAGGAUAGGUGGGAGGCGCCGAAGCAUUGCCCUAGGGCGGUGCGGAGCCGAUGUUGGGAUACCACCCUUCUGUUGCUGAGAUUCUAACGCGAGGAGUAACGACCCUGCGGACCCUCUCAGGCAGGCGGUUUGACUGGGGCGGUCGCCUCCGAAAGAGUAA